GGUCAUUUGAGAACUGUGAUG
rnacentral:miRNA from 1 species